UUCGGUAGCGGGCGAUCGGUUUGGUCGCAGAGAGAGAGAGAGAGAGAGAGAGAGGAUGGGAAGUGAAUUGGUAUGGAGAUGGUGUGUUGCUGGUAAUGGUUUGAUGAGAUGCUUUUAUAAUAAUAAUAAUAAUAAUACUGCCAUUGCCAAGGCCUCCUCUUUGUAUUUAUCAUCACCCAAACCCAAACCCAAAAUUUUAAUUCAAACUCCAGUGCCACCACUGGCACUAGUAAGAAUAACAAGAAGCAGCAGCAGCUUCAGCUUGAAUUUGGGUCAAGGAUAUAGCAGCAGCAGUAGUAAUGAGAAUAAUGAGAAGAAGAAGGGUGGUAGAGAAUACCUGGAAAUGACAGAGCAAGAACUGAUGAGAGAGUGCGAGGUGGACACAUUCAAGGCAUCGGGUCCAGGUGGUCAACACCGCAACAAGCGGGAGUCAGCGGUGAGGGUGAAGCACAUACCUACUGGUCUUAUAGCCCAGGCUGUUGAGGAUCGAUCUCAGCAUAUGAACCGCGCUUCUGCUUUAGCUCGCCUCCGCACUCUCUUAGCUCUUCAUGUCAGAAACACUGUCGAUAUUCACACCUAUUCUCCUCCUCCUGAGCUCCUUACCAUUCUUCCUCUCAAGUCUACUCUCAGAUCUUCUGGUCCCCAGAUUGGACCCAAUAACCCCAAGUUCCUUUUGGGAAUGCAAGCUCUCCUGGAUUUAAUUUUGGCAGUGGAUGGUUCUGUUUCGGAAGCAGCCAAAUAUGUUGGUUUAAGCACCGGUGCCCUCUCUCGCUUAAUACUAUCUCAUGAUUCUCUUCGAAUGGCUGUCAAUCAACUCAGGGCUUCCAAGAGAUGCUGCAGGACUCAGAAAAGGGGUUGCCAUGGUAUCAUUUUAUCAUUUAUGGUGUGGUUCCAAAUUUAUAAAAUUCAUAGACAGCAGCCCGUACUACCCAAAAGAGGGGGGGAAAACCUAUGUGACCAAAUCCUUUCCAGUCUGACAAUCUACAUGGCACAUUGAGACUAAAAGGUUGGAUGUAGCUAGGCAUCAUUCCGAUUUAGUUAACUGUAUCAAGUUCUGAGGAAGGUUAUUUUCACUCUUGUGUUGGUUUUUGGAUGGUGCUAUUUGCACACCUCCAAUCUUCUUUGCUAGUGUUACAUCCAGUAAUCAUCAGUUCUAUUAACUUUAAUUUAAAAAUUAAUGGUACAGAGAGGUGAAUGUAAUAUUUUUCCUGAUGUUAGUGGAUUUUACUUGUAGCAAUAUAAGGAGUUAAAAGACGAGUAACUUAUCAUGCACUUGGAGAACCGAAAACGUUUACUUGUAAAUGUGCAACUUGGCAUUUGAAGGAAUUGUCCAACUAGAGCAAGAGAAUAUCAACUACAAUGUAUAAUCAUCUCCCCAAAACAGAAGCUGACAGGUCUCAGGAAGCAUCGAGAUUACUUUUUGAUACAUACAUCGUAGUUGGCCCAAUGGUAUGAUUAUUUAUUCUUGCCAAGCAAAACCGUGUGUGUAUAUAUAUAUAUAUAUAUAUAUGAUAUACUGCUGCUGGCAAAUAUAUUCUUUCUUGAAUGAUUUUUUUUUUCCCUGGUUUUGUUUUAUGCUACACGAGUCAGCUUCUCUACAUCAGUCAGUGAAGUAAUAAAUUCCCAUGAUCAAAUAUGACAUCUUUUCCUAA